rnacentral:rRNA from 1 species
UACGAAGGGGGCUAGCGUUGCUCGGAAUCACUGGGCGUAAAGGGUGCGUAGGCGGGUCUUUAAGUCAGGGGUGAAAUCCUGGAGCUCAACUCCAGAACUGCCUUUGAUACUGAGGAUCUUGAGUUCGGGAGAGGUGAGUGGAACUGCGAGUGUAGAGGUGAAAUUCGUAGAUAUUCGCAAGAACACCAGUGGCGAAGGCGGCUCACUGGCCCGAUACUGACGCUGAGGCACGAAAAGCGUGGGGAGCA